rfam:Stagonospora sp. SRC1lsM3a unplaced genomic scaffold IQ06scaffold_11, whole genome shotgun sequence.
GGUGAGAUGGCCGAGUUGGUUAUGGCGCCAGGUUAAGGUCUCUCCUUAGCACAAGUGUAGAAUCUCUUCUAUAUUCCUGGUCACGAAAGUGGCGUGGGUUCGAGUCCCACUCUCAUCA